rnacentral:rRNA from 1 species
AGUGAACGCUGGCGGUAGGCCUAACACAUGCAAGUCGAACGGCAGCACAGUAAGAGCUUGCUCUUACGGGUGGCGAGUGGCGGACGGGUGAGGCAUACAUCGGAAUCUACUUUUUCGUGGGGGAUAACGUAGGGACACUUACGCUACUACCGCAUACGACCUACGGGUGAAAGCAGGGGAUCUUCGGACCUUGCGCGACUGAAUGAGCCGAUGUCGGAUUAGCUAGUUGGCGGGGUAAAGGCCCACCAAGGCGACGAUCCGUAGCUGGUCUGAGAGGAUGAUCAGCCACACUGGAACUGAGACACGGUCCAGACUCCUACGGGAGGCAGCAGUGGGGAAUAUUGGACAAUGGGCGCAAGCCUGAUCCAGCCAUACCGCGUGGGUGAAGAAGGUCUUCGGGUUGUAAAGCCCUUUUGUUGGGAAAGAAAAGCAGCAGGUUAAUACCCCGCUGUUCUGACGGUACCCAAAGAAUAAGCACCGGCUAACUUCGUG